GAUGAACGCUGGCGGCGUGCCUAAUACAUGCAAGUCGAGCGAACGGACGAGAAGCUUGCUUCUCUGAUGUUAGCGGCGGACGGGUGAGUAACACGUGGAUAACCUACCUAUAAGACUGGGAUAACUUCGGGAAACCGGAGCUAAUACCGGAUGAUAUUUUGAACCGCAUGGUUCAAAAGUGAAAGACGGUCUUGCUGUCACUUAUAGAUGGAUCCGCGCUGCAUUAGCUAGUUGGUAGGGUAACGGCUUACCAAGGCAACGAUGCAUAGCCGACCUGAGAGGGUGAUCGGCCACACUGGAACUGAGACACGGUCCAGACUCCUACGGGAGGCAGCAGUAGGGAAUCUUCCGCAAUGGGCGAAAGCCUGACGGAGCAACGCCGCGUGAGUGAUGAAGGUCUUCGGAUCGUAAAACUCUGUUAUUAGGGAAGAACAUAUGUGUAAGUAACUGUGCACAUCUUGACGGUACCUAAUCAGAAAGCCACGGCUAACUACGUGCCAGCAGCCGCGGUAAUACGUAGGUGGCAAGCGUUAUCCGGAAUUAUUGGGCGUAAAGCGCGCGUAGGCGGUUUUUUAAGUCUGAUGUGAAAGCCCACGGCUCAACCGUGGAGGGUCAUUGGAAACUGGAAAACUUGAGUGCAGAAGAGGAAAGUGGAAUUCCAUGUGUAGCGGUGAAAUGCGCAGAGAUAUGGAGGAACACCAGUGGCGAAGGCGACUUUCUGGUCUGUAACUGACGCUGAUGUGCGAAAGCGUGGGGAUCAAACAGGAUUAGAUACCCUGGUAGUCCACGCCGUAAACGAUGAGUGCUAAGUGUUAGGGGGUUUCCGCCCCUUAGUGCUGCAGCUAACGCAUUAAGCACUCCGCCUGGGGAGUACGACCGCAAGGUUGAAACUCAAAGGAAUUGACGGGGACCCGCACAAGCGGUGGAGCAUGUGGUUUAAUUCGAAGCAACGCGAAGAACCUUACCAAAUCUUGACAUCCUUUGACAACUCUAGAGAUAGAGCCUUCCCCUUCGGGGGACAAAGUGACAGGUGGUGCAUGGUUGUCGUCAGCUCGUGUCGUGAGAUGUUGGGUUAAGUCCCGCAACGAGCGCAACCCUUAAGCUUAGUUGCCAUCAUUAAGUUGGGCACUCUAAGUUGACUGCCGGUGACAAACCGGAGGAAGGUGGGGAUGACGUCAAAUCAUCAUGCCCCUUAUGAUUUGGGCUACACACGUGCUACAAUGGACAAUACAAAGGGCAGCGAAACCGCGAGGUCAAGCAAAUCCCAUAAAGUUGUUCUCAGUUCGGAUUGUAGUCUGCAACUCGACUACAUGAAGCUGGAAUCGCUAGUAAUCGUAGAUCAGCAUGCUACGGUGAAUACGUUCCCGGGUCU
rnacentral:rRNA from 1 species